GACGGAGGAUGCAAGCGUUAUCCGGAAUGAUUGGGCGUAAAGCGUCCGCAGGUGGCAGUUCAAGUCUGCUGUCAAAGACCGGGGCUUAACUUCGGAAAGGCAGUGGAAACUGAACAGCUAGAGUAUGGUAGGGGCAGAGGGAAUUCCUGGUGUAGCGGUGAAAUGCGUAGAGAUCAGGAAGAACAUCGGUGGCGAAGGCGCUCUGCUGGACCAUAACUGACGCUCAUGCACGAAAGCGUGGGGAGCAAACAGG
rnacentral:rRNA from 1 species